GUGGCCAAAAAACUUUCUUUCUAGAAUGCGUGAUUGAUCUGCUAUAUGCCUAAAAGGCCAUAAGCACUGUCCCCAACCUCGGGGGAAAGGAAGCGGGUAAGAAGAAUACAGCUAGAAGCCUAGAACUGUAUGGGUUAUUAAGCUGCCAGACACUAUCGACAGCAAUUUGCAAAGUCAUCCAAAAUAGGGAAAAUCUUAAAUCUUUUCCCUCACUUUUACUAUAUCGUAUCUCAAACAUUUUCCCAAUCAAUUAGCUUGGAUCAACUACACCUUUCCCGACCAAUCUGUUUUCUUCCACAACUUACGUUCCUUUUAGACCUCUUCAUAACAGCAGAGUGGCAUUAAUUGGAUCGGCUUAGACAAUCAUAGCAAAGCAAACUGGUUGUUUUAUCUUACAGUAACCAAACAUUUUGUAAGCCAAAACUUUAUUAGACGGAAAAUAGGGAGCCGAUCCUCUGAAUUUAUAAUGAAUGAACCUUAUGUAAUGCAAAGAAUGAUGGACAAUCAAUAGAGUCUCACUUGUUGAAGAUAAGAAAGUGCGUUAAACCCCAUGAUAGUGUUGUUCCCAAGCUAAUAUAUAGUCAUGCAAGUUUUAGGAUUUAACAAAAGAGUCAGACUCAACAACCAAAGAGCUGGAAACAAAUCAAAAACAAAGUGCAAGGAGAACAUGCACAGAGAAUUUAAACAAUUCCACAGCUGUGAGCAUACAGCAACUUCGACAAAAAGGAUGCUGCACUCGAUUUUGUUCAAUUAAAAAUUAAUUCUAAUUAACAAAAAGAAAAAAGGUUAAGUGGCUAGAAUUCAAACAACUCUCUACAUUCACAAGUAUGUAUGCUGCACUCGAUUUUGUUCAAUUAAAAAUUAAUUCUAAUUAACAAAAAGAAAAAAGGUUAAGUGGCUAGAAUUCAAACAAC
rnacentral:lncRNA from 1 species